rnacentral:rRNA from 1 species
GACGAACGCUGGCGGCGUGCUUAACACAUGCCAGUCGAACGGAAAGGCCCUGCUUUUGUGGUGUGCUCGAGUGGCGAACGGGUGUGUAACACGUGUGUAACCUGCCCUUGACUUUGGUAUAACUUCAGGAAACUGGGGCUAAUACCGGAUAGGAGCUCCUGCUGCAUGGUGGGGGUUGGAAAUUCUGGGCGGUUGGGGAUGGACUCGCGGCUUAUCAGCUUGUUGGUGGGGUAGUGGCUUACCAAGGCUUUGACGGGUAGCCGGCCUGAGAGGGUGACCGGCCACAUUGGGACUGAGAUACGGCCCAGACUCCUCCGGGAGGCGGAAGUGGGGAAUAUGGCACAAUGGGCGGAAGCCUAUUGCAGAACCGCCGCGUGCGGAAUGCCGGCCUUCGGGUUGUAAACCGCUUUGGCCUGUGACGAAGCGUGAGUGACGGUAAUGGGUAAAGAAGCACCGGCUAACUACGUG